rnacentral:rRNA from 1 species
UGGGUUGUAAACUGCUUUUAUACGGGAAGAAACGCACCCUACGUGUAGGUGUCUGACGGUACCGUAAGAAUAAGGACCGGCUAACUCCGUGCCAGCAGCCGCGGUAAUACGGAGGGUCCGAGCGUUAUCCGGAAUCAUUGGGUUUAAAGGGUCCGUAGGCGGGCCUGUAAGUCAGGGGUGAAAGUUUGUGGCUCAACCAUAAAAUUGCCUUUGAUACUGCAGGUCUUGAGUCAUGGUGGGGUCGCCGGAACAUGUGGUGUAGCGGUGAAAUGCAUAGAUAUCACAUAGAACACCGAUCGCGAAGGCAGGUGACCAACCAUGUACUGACGCUGAUGGACGAAAGCGUGGGUAGCGAACGGGAUUAGAUACCCCGGUAGUCCACGCCGUAAACGAUGGAUACUAGCUGUGGGGACUUCGGUCUCCGUGGCCAAGCGAAAGUGAUAAGUAUCCCACCUGGGGAGUACGUUCGCAAGAAUGAAACUCAAAUGAAUUGACGG